AUUGAACGCUGGCGGCAUGCCUUACACAUGCAAGUCGAACGGUUACAGGUCUGCGGAUGCUGACGAGUGGCGAACGGGUGAGUAAUACAUCGGAACGUGCCCGAGAGUGGGGGAUAACGAGGCGAAAGCUUUGCUAAUACCGCAUACGAUCUCCGGAUGAAAGCAGGGGACCGCAAGGCCUUGCGCUCACGGAGCGGGCGAUCGCAGAUAAGGUAGUUGGUGGGAUGAAAGCUUACCAAGCCGACGAUCUGUAGCUGGUCUGAGAGGACGACCAGACACACUGGGUGGAGAGACGGAACAGACUCCGACGGGAGGCAGCAGUGGGGAAUUUUGGACGAUGGGCGAAAGACUGUUCCAGCCAUGCCGCGUGCAGGAUGAAGGCCUUCGGGUUGUAAACUGCUUUUGUACGGAACGAAAGGACUCUGGUUAAUACCUGGGGUCCAUGACGGUACCGUAAGAAUAAGCACCGGCUAACUACGUGCCAGCCGCCGCGGUAAAAC
rnacentral:rRNA from 1 species